CCUACGGGGUGCUGCAGUGGGGUAUAUUGGACAAUGGGCGAAAGCCUGAUCCAGCCAUGCCGCGUGUGUGAAGAAGGCCUUCGGGUUGUAAAGCACUUUCAGUGGGGAAGAAAGCCUUGGGGCUAAUACCCUCGAGGAAGGACAUCACCCACAGAAGAAGCACCGGCUAACUCCGUGCCAGCAGCCGCGGUAAUACGGAGGGUGCGAGCGUUAAUCGGAAUUACUGGGCGUAAAACGCGCGUAGGCGGUCUGAUAAGCCGGUUGUGAAAGCCCCGGGCUCAACCUGGGAACGGCAUCCGGAACUGUCAGGCUAGAGUGCAGGAGAGGAAGGUAGAAUUCCCGGUGUAGCGGUGAAAUGCGUAGAGAUCGGGAGGAAUACCAGUGGCGAAGGCGGCCUUCUGGACUGACACUGACGCUGAGGUGCGAAAGCGUGGGUAGCAAACAGGAUUAGAUACCCCAGUAGUC
rnacentral:rRNA from 1 species